rnacentral:tRNA from 1 species
GGGCUCGUAGCUCAGCUUGGAUAGAGCAUCGGACUUCUAAUCCGAGGGUCGUGGGUUCAAAAUGAGGGGACUCCCUCAAGGCGUAAGUGGCGUUCGGCCAGUGUUCAUUUCCCUCCGGGCUCA